rnacentral:rRNA from 1 species
UACAGAGGGGGCGAGCGUUGUUCGGAAUUACUGGGCGUAAAGGGCGCGUAGGCGGCCAACUAAGUCAGACGUGAAAUCCCUCGGCUCAACCGGGGAACUGCGUCUGAUACUGGAUGGCUUGAAUUCGGGAGAGGGAUGCGGAAUUCCAGGUGUAGCGGUGAAAUGCGUAGAUAGUCUGGAGGAACACCGGUGGCGAAGGCGGCAUCCUGGA